ensembl:lncRNA
CAGAAACAUACAAUUUGCAGUGGUCUCUUUAUUUUAACUCUUCUGUUCCUCGCUCAAAACCUUCCUUUCCAACUUUUUUGGAAAGGAAAGAAAAAGGGGCAGUGGUCUCAUAAUUUUUUCCAGAGCUGUAUGUUCUGCUCACAGAAAAUUGCAUGUUUUUUUCCCUGUGCAACAACAAGGUGGUGAGCGUGUGACUCCCUGCCAUCCCCGCUCUCCAGCGCAGGCACCGAGGAGCCCAUCCCCAGAGGUCCAGAGGAGAUCACUCCCCUAGGCGCUGUAGUGCAAUCGCCUAAAGCACUAGAAGUGUCAACAAAAUACACAGAUGGUCUCUCCUCACCCUGAAUGCUGAAUGAAGUUGAGUCAUCUCUAAACUCUGCUUACAUCAGCCAUCGCUAGGUAACAGACCCAAGCGUGUAGAAAAAGGCUUUUAAUAAUGGAACGAAAACAGAACCUCACAGGUUCACAAACAAAA